UCCAGUUUCCGCCCGCCGCCGCGCCGCUGAUAGCGAGACUCCUUCCCCAUUAAAACCCUCCCCAAACCACGCUCAAAAUCCCCGGAGCCACCACCACCACCACCGACACCGACCAAGGCGGCGGCACCACCACUAAGCCGGCCAUGGAGGAGAGAGCGCCGCUGCUGUCCCAUCGGGCGGAGCGGGGCCGAAAGGCGGCGGGAGCGGCCAAGUGGCGGUGGAGCGGGUCGGCGGCGGCGGAGGAGGCCAGGAAGGUGGCGCACGUCGCGCUGCCCAUGGCCGCGGUCAGCGUGGCGCAGUACGCCGUGCAGGUCGCCUCCAACAUGAUGGUCGGCCACCUCCCCGGGGUGCUGCCGCUCUCCGCCUCCGCCAUCGCCACCUCCCUCGCAUCCGUCUCAGGCUUCAGCCUCCUCAUUGGAAUGGCAAGCGGUUUAGAAACUCUAUGUGGUCAAGCUUACGGGGCUGAACAGUAUGGCAGAUUGGGAGUGCAAACCUACAGAGCUAUGGUCACGCUGACAGCUGUGAGCAUCCCAAUCUCACUUCUAUGGCUGUUCAUGGGAAAACUCCUGACCCUCAUAGGGCAAGACCCCGUGAUCUCACAGGAAGCUGGUAGAUAUAUAGUCUGGUUGAUUCCAGCGCUCUUUGCAUACGCAGUCAGCCAGCCCCUAACAAAAUUUCUGCAGUCUCAGAGUCUAAUAAUUCCUAUGCUUUGGUCCUCCAUUGCAACAUUGCUCUUGCACAUUCCCCUUUGUUGGUUAUUGGUGUUCAAGACCAGCCUGGGUUAUUUUGGAGCGGCUUUGGCAAUAAGCAUAUCGUAUUGGUUGAACGCAUUCAUGCUUGUUGCGUACAUCGGAUUCUCAAAUUCCUGCAAGGAGACAUUCUCACCUCCUACGAAGGACGCCUUCAGUGGAGUCGGUCUGUUCAUGCGCCUAGCUCUGCCAUCUGCACUAAUGUUAUGUUUUGAAUGGUGGUCAUUUGAGGUCAUUAUUCUUCUGUCGGGGCUUCUGCCCAAUCCAGAGCUGCAAACUUCAGUUCUUUCGACAUGCAUGACAACGAUCACAUUGAUGUAUACAAUAGCAUAUGGGAUUGGUGCUGCUGCAAGCACUCGAGUAUCAAAUGAAUUAGGUGCCGGGAAUCCUGAUGGUGCUCGAUUGGCUGUCCGUGUUGUGAUGUUUAUUGCUGUGACUGAGGCAGUUCUCAUCACUGGGGCUCUGUUAGCAUCCCAGCACAUCUUGGGUUAUGCAUAUAGCAGUGAUAAGGAGGUGGUUGACUAUGUCAAUGCAAUGGUUCCAUUUAUCUGCAUCUCGGUCGCUGCCGAUAGUCUACAAGGAGUUCUCUCAGGUUACAAUUUUCUAUCUUCUAAUCGAUCUGUCAAUUUUACUGUCCCUUCGAAAGAGUGAACAGAUAGGGAGUUUCCAGCUAUACCUGCGAUGAUUUAAACAUUUGAUUUAGCCGUAUACUAUACUUGAUUCAGCCAUGACACCGAUAUCUCCAGUCCUUCACCCUGUAGUUUGAUUUCCAUAAGUCAAUGUGUGAUGAUGUGAGCUUUUAUCCAGUUUGGUAAUAAGCCAGCCAUGACACUGAUAUCUUCAGUCCUUCACCCUGUAGUUUGAUUUCCAUAAGUCAAUGUGUGAUGCUGUCAGCUUUUAUCCAGUUUGGUAAUAAGCCCUGGUAGGUAGAAAGUGAUGUUAUUAUUUGCGAGUCAUGCUGAUUCCGCAAAGACAUUAUCAGGUAAUGUGUCACUUAUUAAUUACUUUGUAUUUCACUAUACUAAUGCUAUUUUGUGUUGUGGAAGCCGACAUUGUUACUUGGGGAGUUACCUGUUUGUUCAUUCAAACAUGUGCUCUUAUGUGAACAUGGAUGCCGGUGUUUACAUCCACACACAUCUGGCUGGGAUGUAACCUUAAGUGGGCGCCACCUCACUAAGUAUCGGUCGAGGAUGUGGGUGGCAGCACCUGGGCGCCUAUGUUAACCUUGGUUCCUUCUAUCUCUUUGGAAUUCCAAUAUCUCUCCUUCUUGGGUUUGUUCUUAAGUUGGGAGGGAAGGGACUUUGGAUGGGCAUUUC